UAAGGAAGGCAGCAGGGGCUUAAAUUACCCAAUUCUAAAGAAGAGAGGUAGUGCCAAGAAAUAACAAUACAAGGCCAUUUCAUGGUUUCGUAAUUGGAAUGAUGGGAAUUUAAAACCUUCCAAAAAUUCAAUUGGAGGGCAAGUCUGGUGCCAGCAGCCGCGGUAAUUCAAGCUCCAAUAGCGUAUAUUAAAAUUGUUGCAUUUAAAACGCUCGUAGUUGAAUUUCAAAGAAUCAAUCUUUUAAGUAAUACUUUUGCUAUAACAUGCUUAGACAAUACAACGAAUCUGUUCUUUGCAUUCCUUUUGCAAAAUGUGUUCUUAUUAAAAAAAGGAUCCUUUUUAAAAUCUCUUUUGCUAUUUCUUAGUAUUGGAGAUUUUGUUCCUUUGAGUAAAUUGGAGUGUUCAA
rnacentral:rRNA from 1 species